rnacentral:rRNA from 1 species
AUGACGGUGCUUUGGAGAUGGAGAUCAAAGGCACAAGAUAAUGAUGGCCAUCUCAUAUCACUUAUAUUGAUUGCAUGUGGCGUCAUCGAUUACUACAUAUUGGUGACGAUAAACGUCACUGGAAUGUCUCAGCCUGAUCACCAGGAUACAACGAAGGGAUUUGCGGGAGAAAAGCACCGAGGCGAGGUUGACGAAAGAGAGAAGGGUAUGAAGCUGACAAGCAUUUUCGUACGCCCAGAACUUGAUAAAAGCAGAUACAUGUUCACUCACUAUUCAUCUUUAACAGCUUCAGUUGCUAAAAUAAUGCCAACACUUCCGGAGAGUGAGAGGGAAACAAGGGCAUAUCUUACGGAAAGGAAAAGCAAGAGUGAGGCAUAUUUGAAGGUAAGGGAUGCAAGGAUGCGGAGCAGCAACCUCUUAGAGACAUACAAAGCAUAG